AGCUGCUGGAGGCAAGUAAGAGCACCACAUCCAGCUGUACCCCAAUCUGAAAGGGCUGCUUCCUCACAAAGAAUCCGAAUAGCCCUCUCCCAUCACUAAGCUAGCUGUGGAAUGUGGCCAAACACAAUGGAAUAGGAUGUCACUGUUAAGAGAACAGAAUGCUUAGGUUAGAAGAACUGAAGCCUGACCUGUGGAGAUAAGCAGAUAAAGGAUAUGGUGAAACACAUUCAGCAGAAUCACUGCCAAAUAAAGCCUACAAAGUUCCUGGCAAAGACCAAAAAAUAAGGCUGAAUCAAGGUAUUGUUAUAAAUCGACAUCUGACUAAUAGGCCCAGACUCUGAUGCCCAGAGUGGGCAAAACCAGAGGGAAAUUUACAUUGGCCAUGGUCAGUUACUCAGCAUGUGAAAAUGGUCACUGUCAAGCCCUCAAGGCCCACGCUGGAGAGAGCUGGAUAGUGUCUUGCCGUCACCCAGGUUGGAGUGCAGUGGCAGGAUCUUGGCUCACUGCAACCUCCGCCUCCCAGGUCCCAGAGAGAAAGGAGCUUGGAAGAGGGUUGGCUUCUCUCUAUGUGAUCAAGAACAAAUAAAAAUGAGUGGUGGACACUCUGAUCUUAUUCAUGACAGUCAUCCAGGACUCCUCCCUUUCCUGUCCUCACAUCCCAUUCCACUUCUAUCUGGCUGCCAAUGUUUUGGAAACCAUUUCUCAAUUCAGUCUAAUCUCUUGAACUUGAUACCUUAAUUCAACUAUUUCUACCAUGAUUUUCAAUGAACUUAUCUUGUCUCUAGUAUUAGUAAUCUGAAACCAAAUACCCUCCACAUGACCCAAGUUCCUCUUCUAUUCCUGCUAUUCCUUAGACACAAGUGCUGGACCUCUAUCAAGCCCUCUGAAAUCUUUGGCCUACAACAAUUAGAAAAUAGUCUUGUUUCUUGGCAACCACAGACCUAGGGCAACUAGAGCCCUCUUCAAAACCUAAUACAUUGAUAUUCUGCUCUGUAAGUUAGAAUCAGUGGGCUCAAUUACUACAAAUAAGAAUCCUACCCAACCAAGAUACAAUGAGGCUUACUCUAAAAAAGCCAGUUAGAGAGCCUUACCAUUAGUGAAGGAGUUUAGGGAGUCAUAGGUAAAACUGUAAACAAAUGGAGAGAAGAAACUGCAGCUAUGAAAUGGCACAUUCUUAAAAGCUAAACUAGAAUGAUAUGAGAAUGUUCCUUUCAACAUGAAUCUUCCUUCCCAGUUCUUUUCUAUUUUGGAGGCUGAAAAGGAUUCUUAUUGCCUAUCUUGAGAACUGUUGUAUUUUAGGAAGUGCUGAUGUCUUAAUUCAAAGGAAUGAUAAUGUGAGGCAUCGAGUACAACGACAGGAGGAAUUUUUACAGAAUAGCCUUAGAGAAUAUCUCAGCCUCCAUCAUAUAGGCAAGUGCUUACUCUUCCCACUUAGAGGUCAGCUAUAUUCCUCCAUAUCUGAAAAUAAAGUUGAAAUCACCAUAUUUAUCAGGGCCCUCCAGUACUAUACAAUAAAAUUAUAUACAGUUAUAUUAAAAUGACUAAUUAAAAUAGAAUUAAUGCUCAGGUUCAUCAAUAGAAGCAUCUUUAUAGUUAAAAGACAAGAAAAUUAAGACUUCUUGGCAAGAAACAAGAGAGACCAUAAAACAAGCAACUUCAUGUGAAAUUAAAAGGUCCUAUACUUUAUUAGUAAGUUUCCAUAUUGAGACAUUUUUGUACAUGUCCUGAAUAAAUGCAUAUAUUAUGGGCUGAAUGUCUGUGUCUCCCCCAAAUUCCUAUGCUGAAGCCCUAACCUCCAAUGUAAUGGUACUUAAAGGCUAGGCCUUUGGAAGGUAAUUAGGUUUACAUGAGGUCAUGAGGGUGGUGCUCCCAUGAUGAGAAUAGUUUCCUUAUUCCUUAUAAGAAGAAGAAAAGAGACAAAAGCUCACUCACUCUCCCUCUGUCCUGUGAGAACACAGCAAGACGGCAGUCUUCUGUGAGUCAGGAAGAGAGAUCUCACUGUAGAGCCAAACUGGCUAACACCUUAAUCUUGGACUUCUCAGUCUCCAGAACUAUGAAAAAUAAACUGUUUUAAGCCACCCAGUCUAUGGUGUAUUAUUAUAGCAGCCUGAGCUGAUCAAUGCAAUGUAUACGUUUUAAACGUAAAAAACUGAUCUAGGCCGGGCGCGGUGGCUCACACCUGUAAUCCCAGCACUUUGGGAGGCUGAGGCAGUGGAUCACGAGGUCAACAGAUUGAGACCAUCCUGGUUAACAUGGUGAAACCCCGUCUCUACUAAAAAAUAAACAAAAAAUUAGCUGGGCAUGGUGGCGCAUGUCUGUAAUCCCAGCUACUCAGGAGGCUGAGGCAGGAGAAUUGCCUGAACCCAGGAGGCGGUGGUUGUGGUGAGCCGAGAAUGCGCCAUUGCACUCCAGCCUGGGUAAC